UACGAAGGGGGGCUAGUGUUGCUCGGAAUCACUGGGCGUAAAGGGUGCGUAGGCGGGUCUUUAAGUCAGGGGUGAAAUCCUGGAGCUCAACUCCAGAACUGCCUUUGAUACUGAAGAUCUUGAGUUCGGGAGAGGUGAGUGGAACUGCGAGUGUAGAGGUGAAAUUCGUAGAUAUUCGCAAGAACACCAGUGGCGAAGGCGGCUCACUGGCCCGAUACUGACGCUGAGGCACGAAAGCGUGGGGAGCAAACAGGG
rnacentral:rRNA from 1 species